AGUACGGCGAGUGAAGCGGGAAGAGCUCAAAUUUGUAAUCUGGCGGUCUACGGCCGUCCGAGUUGUAAUCUGGAGAAGCGUUUUCGGCGCCGGUCCGCGUACAAGUCCCCUGGAACGGGGCGUCGCAGAGGGUGAGAAUCCCGUCUUUGACGCGGUUUCACCGGUGCCGUGCGAUGCGCUCUCGAAGAGUCGAGUUGUUUGGGAAUGCAGCUCAAAACGGGUGGUAAAUUCCAUCUAAAGCUAAAUACUGGCGAAAGACCGAUAGCGAACAAGUACCGUGAGGGAAAGAUGAAAAGCACUUUGGAAAGAGAGUCAAACAGUACGUGAAAUUGUUGAAAGGGAAACGCUUGAAGUCAGUCGCGUCUCUCGGGACUCAGCCGCGACCCGUUCGCGGCGCAUUUCCCGAGUCUGGACGGGCCAGCAUCGGUUUCGACCGUCGUAAAAAGGUGUGAGGAAUGUGGCACCCUCGGGUGUGUUAUAGCCUCGCGCCGUAUGCGACGGACGGGACUGAGGAACGCAGCGCGCCCCCUUCGCGGGGGGCCGGGGUUCGCCCACGUAACGCGCUUAGGAUGCUGGCGUAAUGGCUUUAA
rnacentral:rRNA from 1 species